CCUCCUGCAAAAAUCAAUAUAUAGGAGGUCUCACCUGCCCAGUGACAAUUUAAACGGCCGCGGUAUUUUGACCGUGCGAAGGUAGCGCAAUCACUUGUCUCUUAAAUGAAGACCUGUAUGAAUGGUAGAACGAGGGCUUAACUGUCUCCCUUUUUAAGUCAAUGAAAUUGAUCUGCCCGUGCAGAAGCGGACAUAAUAAUACAAGACGAGAAGACCCUUUGGAGCUUAAGGCUCCAGAUCAACUAUGUCAAGAACUUUAACCAAGUUAAACCAAAUAACACCUGAUCCUAGCCUUUAGUUGGGGCGACCGUGGGAGAAAACAAAGCUCCCAUGAGGACUGGACCCACCUCCAGAACCAAGAAAGACAUUUCUAAGUCACAGAACCUCUGACCAUAAUGAUCCGGCCACCAGCCGAUCAACGAACCAAGUUACCCUAGGGAUAACAGCGCAAUCCCCUUUCAGAGUCCAUAUCGACAAGGGGGUUUACGACCUCGAUGUUGGAUCAGGACAUCCUAAUGGUGCAGCCGCUAUUAAGGGUUCGUUUGUUCAACGAUUAAAGUC
rnacentral:rRNA from 1 species